AGAGUUUGAUCCUGGCUCAGAGUGAACGCUGGCGGUAGGCCUAACACAUGCAAGUCGAACGGCAGCACAGUAAGAGCUUGCUCUUACGGGUGGCGAGUGGCGGACGGGUGAGGAAUACAUCGGAAUCUACUUUUUCGUGGGGGAUAACGUAGGGAAACUUACGCUAAUACCGCAUACGACCUACGGGUGAAAGCAGGGGAUCUUCGGACCUUGCGCGAUUGAAUGAGCCGAUGUCGGAUUAGCUAGUUGGCGGGGUAAAGGCCCACCAAGGCGACGAUCCGUAGCUGGUCUGAGAGGAUGAUCAGCCACACUGGAACUGAGACACGGUCCAGACUCCUACGGGAGGCAGCAGUGGGGAAUAUUGGACAAUGGGCGCAAGCCUGAUCCAGCCAUACCGCGUGGGUGAAGAAGGCCUUCGGGUUGUAAAGCCCUUUUGUUGGGAAAGAAAUCCAGCUGGUUAAUACCCGGUUGGGAUGACGGUACCCAAAGAAUAAGCACCGGCUAACUUCGUGCCAGCAGCCGCGGUAAUACGAAAGGGUGCAAGCGUUACUCGGAAUUACUGGGCGUAAAGCGUGCGUAGUGGGUUGUUUAAGUCUGUUGUGAAAGCCCUGGGCUCAACCUGGGAACUGCAGUGAAACUGGACGACUAGAGUGUGNAGAGGGUAGCGAAUUCCUGNGUAGCAGUGAAAUGCGUAGAGAUCAGAGGAACAU
rnacentral:rRNA from 1 species